rnacentral:lncRNA from 1 species
UUGACAUAAUUUAUACUUUUUUGUUUACAGAUAUAGUUUAUGAACAGAAUGUUUGUCUGAAGUCAAAAUUCUGCCAUGUAAUUGAAUACAUAAGCUCAUGAGGAAGAACACAAAGAUGUCUUACAGUAAUUUCCCAGUUAUUUAGAAAAUCCAGUCAUUGUGGAGUUAGUGCCUUCUGUGUACUUCUGCAGUCUCAUUGCAGCUGUGUCAGCUUAAAACUUGUUUAUAACAUUUUCUUCCAUAAAGCCUUUAAACUGUAACUCACCCCUCUCAACUCACUACAGCAAUGGAGACAAGUGAAGGAAUCAUAUAGAGAAAGCCAGAAUGUUGGUGCAUUGCUGUGUAUUAACCACAUUACUGGGUACUUGUCAUGUUCUUGUGAACAAGAACAUGUCAUGUUCUUCCGUGAACAAAGUAUGUUAUUUAGACUUUAGUCCUCCAAAAUAUUCCAGCUGUGUGGGUUGUGGCACCCACACACAAGAAGAUGUUGAUUUCUUUGAUGUAAGAAAGAUCUCAAGAAAGAUCUCAUCUUUCAUUUGUCUGUAAAUGACAACAGCAUGCCUUCACAGCAUUGCUUUAAUAAAACAGUGAUUAUGCUAAUAGUAUUUCUUUCCAAACAGGUUACCUCACCUAGCCUCGGAUAUUAAGAACAAUGCAAACUAAACAGGAAGUAUGCUUGUGAAGAGUAAACUGUCCUAACAGUUUAAGGCCAAGGACACCUUAUUCCUUGUGGAUCUUUAGCAGCUGCCUUCACUCCUGAUAAAUCUGCAGCCCAUCUGGGUGGGUGGCAGUAAUGAUAGCAGCAGCAGUGAGUGUUUUUCUUGACAGAGCUCCUCUUGUCCCAUUGUUUCUGUGGCUGGAGUGGAACUCGCCUUAGACAAUGUCACACAGGCAGGGGGAAAAGAAAUCUGUAUUUCAGAGCAUGGGUACUAUGGAAAAGAUUGAUACAAACCAAGCAGUCUGUUAGCGUGGACAGGCAAUCUGUAGGUGAUUCUGACAGCAAAGCAGAAAAUUACGGUUUAAGAGGCUUAUUGUAGCUUUGGGUUUUACUCCCUCCAAAACAUCAACCCAUUAAUUUGAGGUGAACUGCCCAUUUCAAUACAGUGUGCAAUUAUCAAAGCAGGAGUGUCACACAUAGGUAAAACCUACAAAAGAAAGGCCUUGUAAGACCAUGGUUCAGGCCUUGUUACUUCAGAUAAGUAUAGCUAACAGCGAGCCUGUCCCAUGAGAACCUGCAAGCACAUCAGCCAUUGCUCAUGAAAACUGUCCGACACCUGUGAAAAUAAGAAGUCUAUCCCAUGAGAAUCCAUGAAGAAAAAAUGCGAACAUCUGCUGAAGAAGAGGGCCUUAGCACAUAUACACAUGAGCACCUAUGAACCAAUGAAUUGAGUGGCAAGAAAGUUACUAACCAAUUAAACAUGAGGCUUUUGAAGGCAGUAUAAAAAUAGGCUGUGAACAUUGAAGGGCAGCUUUGGCUGCUUGACUUUGAAAGUGUUGUGUCCUCACAGCAACACAGGAUUGACUUCACACACCUUUCAAAUGCUGUUCUUUAAGAUGGUAGUUCAAGAUAUUUAUUGAAAUGUGAGCAUGCUAGAGAUACAAGAAAACAAUAGCUUUGGAAGUUCAGAGGCACCUACUACAAGGUGAUUCAUGUCAGCCUGUAAAAGGCAGACUAAUGAACAUCCACAGAAGUGUUUCAGGACACUGGUAAUUAUAUCCAUCCCUUAACAAGCUACUGUAUCAUCUCUCCUCAUCAUCCUCAUUCUGUGUUGUAGGGAUUUCACAGGUUCUGGUGAACUACGUAACAGAGUACCUUGUCAAAAUAAAACAGAUCUGCCUGCAAAUACAUCCUCUCAACACCUCCUCCCAGUGGAAUUUCUGGAGUAGCAGAUUCACUAUUUGGUAAAAUGUGAAGGAAGAAGUUCAGAUAAGAAGCACACAUUUUCCAUUAUUAUUGCUUCUCAUUUUCUUUAAUAGCAUUUCUUUUAAAACUUGUGGAAUAAAGUUAUUGGAAAUGUGUAGAAAAUUUAUUAGAAAGUGUAAUGAUCACUGUAUGCAUUAUCUUUACAAAGGGAACAACAAGUCAUUUUCUGUCUUUUUUUGGUCACUGUUUAUGACAACAAAAACUGAUUUUAUUAAUGGUUUUAAUGCUCAAAAAUAAUGCUUUUCCUAAGCCUGUUUGCAGGUGCUCCUAAGCUAUUGUAAAUAGAAACAUCAUGCAAAAUAUUAAGGAUGUUUUCGACUGAGACAUACAGUUUUGCCUGAGAUCAAUGCACAAUAAAAAAAAUGAGUCACACUUCAGAUCUUAUAGUAAGUAUAACCACCUAAGAACUAAUUUCUCAGGUUAAUAAAACCUGCUACAUUCCAGGACUUGUGUCAGCAUAACUGUUUUCAAUUAGGAUUUGCAAAAUAGGGUUCUGGAACAAGUUAUACCAUGUCCUGGGAGAUAGUGGUGACCGCUUUUAAGACUUCCAAAUUAUAUAAAACUCAUUUUCUUAGUCUCCUUCUGUGUUUUUUCAUCCUUGGUGUUUAAGAUCAACCAUCAUAUAACCAGUCAAUGUCUGGAAACUAAGCCUUUCCAUCCAGGAAUUUGUAGUCAGAUAAUGGAGACAACUGUGUGACUGUGAACACAUUUCAAGUACAAAUUAUAGCAGAAAAUAAAAUCAUGGAAUUAUAGAAUGGUUUGGGUUGUAAGUGCGUCUUAAAGAUCAUCUCAUUUCAAUUUCCCUGCCAUGGGCAGGGACAUUUUCAAAUAGACCAGGUUGCCUAGAGCCCCAUCCCACCUGGCCUUGAACAUCUGCAGGGAUGGGGCAAGUGGAACAUGGAAUAUUGUCAGGCAAAAAAAUUAAAAUAGCCAAAACCAAUAAUGAAUAAGAGAGGAAAGAUUUUAGUAUGCAUCAGUAGUAAUCACAGUAGGUCAUAAACAGGAAAAAAUACUUCAUUAGCAAGGGAUUGGGUCUAACUAUAAAAAUGCUUUUUGUCUGACUACAUCUAGUUAACAUUCAAAUUUGUCUUCCCAUCUGGCAUACCAGAGUUUCAGUAAUUCACAGAUAUCAUCAACUAUGGCAGCAGACAAUUUGAGACACAAGGAGGCAGACAAGGGGCUAAUCACUACUCUCAUGUAUUGUUACAUGACUUUUGUACAAAGUGUACUGAUUUUAUGUUUAUGCUUUCAUUUCCCUUCUUGGACUUUGUGACAUAUAAGUGAGUGUGUUCAACUUGAAGGUGAAAGAGGAGGCCAAAAGUUAGAAAUUAAAGCUUCAGAUAGAGAAGGAAGGCCAGAAGCCAACAGGGACAGAGGGACAGAAUUCUCCAAAGCAUAAAUAUGAGAAGCAGAGGAGGAAGGCCAGGAGGCUCUUUGUUUCUCUGAGAAGAGUGUAUGGGAUGCUGGGUGAGAGUUUACUUGCUGGAUGGGGAUGGCAAUUAUAAAGCUCAGCUGUGGGCAAUUGCUAAGGAUCUUACAAAACAUCCAAAAUGGCAAAGCAAAGCAAAAUGUGGCAUAUAAGCAAUGAGAAAAGGCAAACCUGAGAUACCUGGUGGGAUUUGUGCCUCUCUGUGACACAGGAAUCUGAACCCACCCUUCUCAGAGCACUGGAUCAUAAAGGCCUAUGGUGUUGUUUUCCAGACAGGGUUUAUGGCAGAGAAGUAUCUAUAAAGCAUUCCCUAUUAAAAACAGAAAGUGAAAGGCAUUCAUGCCAUCAGCUCCUGGAUCCUGGAGACCUUCUGAGAAAAAGAGACACUUAGGAUUCUUUGGAAAGUUCUCAGGCCUUCCUUACCAACAGCAGCCUAAUCAUCACUGUUAUCUUUGUCCUCUGAGGACCCAAACUGCCCUUGAAUGAUAGAGAUGUCCAUGUCCUCUUCCAUGGAGACACUCUUGUGCAUGAUGUGGUGCCCUUGUCCUGAAAUAGAACACAAUUCAGAGCCUUCCAGUAGCAGAGGACAAUGACUUAGCAAUGGAUAACUGCUAAUUGUUGUAUUUAACUGUUUCCCAAGUCCAUCUCAGGGCUUUAAUUUUAGUCCUGCACUGCAAUGAGUUGCACUUCUACCCGUGCUGGGCCAUAUGGGCACAAAAGACCACAGUGAGUCAUCCUGUGCCACCAACAGCCACCUCAUGCACUGAUGAUCCUUAGCUCAAACUUUCAGGCAGUUUAAGAACCAUCCAAAAGGUUCAAUUUGUAUCAUGAUAUGCUGGAAGUGCACAUCCUUCUGGAACUUUCGCGGUGGAAAAUGAAGGCAAAAUAAUCCCAGCAUAGUAGCAGAGGCCAUAGGUCUGCUGAGCAGCAAGAUAGAAAGGUUGACGAUGGUUGGGAGCCACUACAGACUUAAGGAUACUGACAAUACUUAAAGGAAUAGGCCAACCAAUCCAUGUAAAGAGGAGCAUAGAUAUCCAGAGAUGACAACCCUUUUUACAGAGGUCAGAAAGAGAAAAAUAUUCCAUACCAAAAGUAUUGUAAUACAGCUCCCAGGACCCUUUCAAAAUGUCAGUAGAGCAAAAUCGAUAGACAAGUAAAAAAAUCAGUUUAACUCACCCAAUUCAAUUUCUGAUGGAAAUGCAAUUGAGAUAAUGUUACUAGAAUUUGUCAGUUGGGCCCUUGGAUUCAUAAAUCCUUCAUAAAUUCAAUUGUCCUGUCUCUUCUUUGUGCAUCAGAUGUCACAACAGCUAGCAUAAAGUACUUAGAAACUUCAUUCUUCACCACUCGAGCUGUUAUUUGCUCUUGAACAAAGGGACUGAUUAAAUAACAGACAGCAUAUUUUUUUCUAUUCUCCUCUUUUCACUUGCAUUAUACAAACACAUGCCUCAUUAUAUUUUGCACCAAAUUAAUUCAACUUCCUUAGAAAAACUCAGAUGAAACUGUUUAAGCAAGUGUUGGGGAGUAAUUUAUCCUAAAAACAGAUACUAACAAUUUUAAUAGAAAUAAAAAAUUCUGUUAUCAUAACAAAAAUUUUAAUGUAUUCAUUGAUUUAUACAGGUAUAACUAGAACAAUUAUUUUAUCCAAUGGACUGACAUUCCCAUAAUUUCAUAAUUUGUAUGUUUUCCUUGUUCCAUUCUCCUCUCUGUGCCUUUUCUGUCAAAAUAUACGUGUUUCUGCAUCUCUGCCAAUUGCAUUGUGAUGUUUCCUCAGUCACUAGCAAAUGCAAGGUUUCUUCACUCCUGGGAGUAAAGUGAAUAAUUUAGCUUAGCUUUUGUUUGAGCACUACAAGAACUGUGUAAGUGAAACUGUUGAAUGCCAGGAACGAGUUCUCAAAUCUCUACCAAUUUGGAAGAAUCUAAAGUUGCUUUAUAUUCAGGAGCUCUAGCUGUGUGAGUUGAACUGCUGGUUUUAACCUGCUUCUGAAUUUGAAAGCAAUAAAAAGGGAAGACAAACAAAACUGCAUUACUAGAGCUUUCUACUUUCAUAGUAAUUUGUAGUAAAGUAACAUGGUUUCUUCUAGAAACUGCAGUUAAGUCACUUUAUAUCACAAUGCCAAUAUAAAGUGUAGAGAGUGUGCAAGCCAUAUUCACUUUAAAGUUUUUAUGCUAACAAAGUAGACAAUGUGGUAUGCAAUGGCCUUAGUAGUGGUGAAAAUUAGUGUCUCUUGAAUCAGAACUUACCUCUGCUAAGUGCAACCAAAAUGGUCAGUUAAUGGAAGGAGAAAGAUGUCACAUAGAUUUAUUGCCACUGAGUUUUAGAUAUAUGGAAAAAAAUCCUAGAGUAUAAAAAAAUUAUACUGAAUUGCUCUGGUGUAAGCAAAGCUUAAACUUGUCUGUCAUGUAAAGAUGGGAAUCAUUAUUUCUUUUGAUCUCAACGAUAUCACAAAUAUCCAGCAGAGGUGGAAGGUGCUAUUACUUUUCUAAGAGUACAACAGACAAUCUGAGAGCACUGUCAAGAUAUGUUUUAUUAUACUGCACAUAUCAUAAAAGUGGUCACCUGGACUUGCUCAAGCAAAUCUCCAACAGGUUCUUGAGAGCACAGAAAUAUAUCUGAGUGGCACUGACUGUUGUAGCAUAUUGGAUAAGCCCAACAUGAAUUGGGAGAGGAGCAGUCCAAAGAACUAAGAAGACAUAAAUGAGGAUAUCCUGAGCUAAUAAGAAAAGAUGAUAAAUUUGCAACUGAAGAUGUCCUGGACCAGCACAGUUUCAUUGCAGAGGGAACUGGUUGAUUUGUUCCUGUGUGUUCUCCAGAGGUGAACUUGCACAUGUGCCACAUGUGCAGAGCAGAUGGUCUGGGACCAGGAUCCAGGAGCAGGUAUUGGAGUUAAGAAAUCUGGCAGCUUAAAUUCACCCUGUGAUAAAAAUGCAUCUGUAACAUGAAAUACCAGCAAGAGCUUAUUAGACAGAAAUUAAAAAUACCUAUAUGGUGAAGGCAUAAGAAAUUAUUUCUCACCAUGGAUGCAAGUAAUCCAUACAUUUUAAGAAAAGACAGCAUGCAGACAGAUGAGCAGCAAUGAUGACACUAAUUUUGUGCUGAGGAAAAAAAAUAUAUACCAGUAUAUAUUCUGGAAGUUAUUCUGUUAUACUUGUUCAUUAUUCCUCUAAAUUGUCAAACGAUAUCAGGCACAAAACAGGGACAGAAAAUCCUUACCAGAUAUAAAAUCCCAGCUAGAGCAGGUAUGAUUAUAAAGUGUUGGCUUCCACAAUGAUUUUAAACAUGUUAGUUCAUCUGAAAGAUGGUUUUGAAUCAGAAAUAUGAAUAAUGAAUAUCAUUUGCAUAGGACACUAUACAUGUACAUUAAUAUUGAACUCCUUACAUCCCUACAGUUCCCAGAGGUGAUGAUACUGCUUGGGUGGGGCUGUGUCUGUUCAGUGAGUUAAUGAGGAUUAAUUUUGCUCCUGUGCUUGGCAGUUGUGAUCAUGAGCUUUAGUUUUCAGGCCCAUGUCUGAAUUGGUAAAAUUAUGCUCUCAAUAAUAUAAUAAUGUGUCUAAUAAUGUGCUGCAAAAAAUAUGUCGUAUUAACAGUAAAGUGGAAAAUAAUAAAGUGGAAAACUUUUUCUAGGAGGGAACUAAUUUGAGGAUGAAGGAAAUGCCACUACACUCCAGAAGGGCUGGUUUAGGGACUUGAACAGGCCACAAUGCCCAAUGUUUUAAGUUCAAAUCAGUCCUUGAGUCAGGCUAACGGAACAUUAAGCCACUUACUAAGUGUGACCUGGAAAGUUCUACAUGCCUUGCAUGAACAACCUCAAUAUUUCAUUUCCUGGUAAAACCAGAUACAGAUGAACAUGAAUAAUUUCAUGCCUUUUGUAUUUGACAGCUCUUCAUAGCUGAUAAAGAAUAGGCUGCUGCUUAGCUAUGGUGUCUUUUCUUAAGCUGCUUUUUGACUGUGAGCAAACUGUUUUUUCCAUCUGUGCAGUAAUACCCCAGACAUGUUUCCCUGUAUCCAAACAUGUGGGUGUUUUGCAGAGGUUAAUGGAAAUUAAAUUAAAGCUGAAUAAUACUGAUUAUAAUGCAAGAGUGUGCAAGCAAAGCUAAUUAAUACAACUGGCAGUAUGGCUCAGUCUUGCCCUAUGACACCACUCUCUCUUUCUCCCUCAAUCCCAUUUUUUUCCUAAGCAGGAGCCCACAGCAACCUAAAGCUACUUGUUUUUUUAUACAGUCUUGAAUGAUAAAUAUACAGCAGCAUCCCACUUUUUGCACUCAGGAUUUAAAUUAUAUUCAAUCCCCCAGAAAGAAAUGAAAAGCUAUUAUAUUCUCCCUUUUUCAUUCUUGCUUAUGAACAUCCUAGUUCUACCAUUAGGAUUACAGUAUUUCCUCAAUUUUAGUGUUUGCUGAGUUUUUCUGUGCAAGGAGCUGUUGCAAAUAAUCUUGGAUUUUAUCUUGAUUAAGUGGCAUAUGUCAACAAAUAUAAUUUCUGGUGGACCAGCUCACUUUUUAUCUUAUAUUAAUGACCAAACUUUGCCAUUAGUUUAUCAAAGGCCAGAAGAAUGCCUUUUAACUAUGGAUAGUAUGCACAGGCUACCUAAAAAAAAAAA